AGAGUUUGAUCCUGGCUCAGGACGAACGCUGGCGGCGUGCCUAAUACAUGCAAGUCGAACGCUUUUUUCAAUCAUCGUAGCUUGCUACACCGAUUGAAAAUUGAGUGGCGAACGGGUGAGUAACACGUGGGUAACCUGCCCAAAAGAGGGGGAUAACACUUGGAAACAGGUGCUAAUACCGCAUAACCAUGAUGACCGCAUGGUCAUUAUGUAAAAGAUGGUUUCGGCUAUCACUUUUGGAUGGACCCGCGGCGUAUUAACUUGUUGGUGGGGUAACGGCCUACCAAGGUAAUGAUACGUAGCCGAACUGAGAGGUUGAUCGGCCACAUUGGGACUGAGACACGGCCCAAACUCCUACGGGAGGCAGCAGUAGGGAAUCUUCCACAAUGGGCGCAAGCCUGAUGGAGCAACGCCGCGUGAGUGAAGAAGGUCUUCGGAUCGUAAAACUCUGUUGUUAGAGAAGAACAUGCAGGAGAGUAACUGUUCUUGUAUUGACGGUAUCUAACCAGAAAGCCACGGCUAACUACGUGCCAGCAGCCGCGGUAAUACGUAGGCGGCAAGCGUUGUCCGGAUUUAUUGGGCGUAAAGGGAACGCAGGCGGUCCUUUAAGUCUGAUGUGAAAGCCUUCGGCUUAACCGAAGAAUUGCAUUGGAAACUGGAGGACUUGAGUGCAGAAGAGGAGAGUGGAACUCCAUGUGUAGCGGUGAAAUGCGUAGAUAUAUGGAAGAACACCAGUGGCGAAAGCGGCUCUCUGGUCUGUAACUGACGCUGAGGUUCGAAAGUGUGGGUAGCAAACAGGAUUAGAUACCCUGGUAGUCCAUGCCGUAAACGAUGA
rnacentral:rRNA from 1 species